rnacentral:rRNA from 1 species
UAGGGAAUAUUGCAAAAUGGGCGAAAGCCCGAUGCAGCAACGCCGCGUGGGCGAUGAAGGCCUUCGGGUCGUAAAGCCCUUUUUGAGGGGAUGAGGAAGGACAGUACCCUCAGAAUAAGCCUCGGCUAACUACGUGCCAGCAGCCGCGGUAAAACGUAGGAGGCGAGCGUUAUCCGGAUUUACUGGGCGUAAAGCGCGUGCAGGCGGAUUGGAUAGUUGGAUGUGAAAGCUCCCGGCUUAACUGGGAGAGGUCGUUCAAUACUUCCAGUCUUGAGUGCAGUAGAGGGAAGUGGAAUUCCGGGUGUAGUGGUGAAAUGCGUAGAUAUCCGGAGGAACACCAGUGGCGAAAGCGGCUUCCUGGACUGUAACUGACGCUCAGACGCGAAAGCUAGGGUAGCAAACG